AUGACGUGAUUGUGAUGCUGAAGCUCUUCUUCUGUGAUUUGAUGAGCAUCGAUCUUUAUGCAGCUCAAGCUGUGUCUGUUUUCUGCUCCUCCAAAAAACCUGACCUCUGUGACCUCUCAUGGGGUCUGGAUUAGAGAAUCGGACCUGGUUUAUACGUACCGAAGGGCAAGAGGAAUCAAACACUUCUGACAGAACGAGUUACUGCUGAUAAACUUCAGGGGUCUCUUCCACACUGGUUUCACCCAAUGAAGUCCAGAUUUUGACAAAGUGGUGCUGUAUCAUGGCUGAACCUGUGCUCUGACCCAAACCUCCAACGUUGGAAUACGUCAAGAAAGAUUUUCACUGUACUGUAAUGUAUAUGUGAGAAAAUAAAGGCUUCUAUUCUAUGAUAUCUUGCACAUAAAAGUUUUCUUUUUAAAGUUCUCUUACUCUUUCUCUUCCAGUGAUGGUGAAGUGGCUCUGGGUUGUUGACCAGUGGAUCAGGGUUCAAGCCCCAGCAUUGAUAAAGCACUGCCACUGUUGGGCGAUUGAGCAAGACCCUUAACCUGGGUUUGCUCUGUUCUGCCCUGUGA